rnacentral:lncRNA from 1 species
CUAUACACAACACAAGUACUAACAAAUGUAGCUAAAUGUUUGUCUUUUGGCAUCUACCGGUAUGUGUGUAAGUCUCUAUUCCUGGCAGGGACAAAACAUUGUGUCUGGCCCAGAGGAUAACAGGGUGUUAGAGUUUCAAGCUUGAUUUAGAAAGGUAAACACAUUCAGUCCAAGUCCUGACAGCCGACAUAUGUCAAAACAGAACAAAAUGACCUGAUCCGUUGUUCAUUCAUUACACAUGCUGAAUGGAGGCGUACAAUAGGUGAAUACAUUCAUUACAGCCAUUUUCCCCAUUUACAGGUGGGAACAGUCCCAAUUCAUAAUCACAAUAAACUCUAUAUCCUGUUCAACGGCCACAUCCCCUUUGGAACCUUCGCCCACUCGGACACACCCAUCCCCCUUGCUGAAGGAGUGGGUGUUUUUUUCCAUUCCAAAAAAAAGGUUCCAAAAAUUGCAACACAGCAGUUAAAGUUGAAUUAGGGCCCUGAAACAGGGAUUACUUUAGCUCCCACUUGCAGAGCUAAGUUCUCUGCUUCUGCUCGCCAUAUGAGCUUUAUACAGUGCUUAGAUAUCCCAUAUGGUUUUAACAUUCUACCUCGACCCAACUGUUUGUGUCCAGGAUAGCUUCCCAGGUCUGCGUCCCAAAUGGAACCCUAUUCCCUUUAUAGUGCACUGCUUUUGACCAGAACCCCAUAGUAAUCUGAUUUAGGGUUGCAAAAUUCCAGGAACUUUCAAUAAACGUCCUGGUUUCUCAGAAAACCAGGAUUUUAGGAAAACCAGGGAAUUUUGCACCCUACAGUGGUCAAAAGUAGGUGCAGGGAAUAGGUUGCCAUUUAGGGUGUAGGGAAUAGGGUGCCAUUUAGGGUGCAGGAAAUAGGAUGCCAUUUAGGGUGCAAGGGAAUAGGAUGCCAUUUAGGGUGUAGGGAAUAGGGUGCCAUGAAGGGUUCAACCCAUGUCUCUGCUGUUCUACAGCUCAUCAGGAAAGACAUAAUACAUCGUCUGGAAUAAAGAUAUCUUAGUUUUGCUCUACUUUCCUGAUUUGAAUCCCCUAGGCCUAGUUUUCUAAACAGAUAUACAGUAUAUAUAUAACUUUCUGAAAC